GGAAACGCCGGUUUUUAGAGAGGAGACGCAAGAGGUUUUCCGCAGCUCGUUUAAACUGUUUACUGACUGGAAAUAGAAAAGCUUUCUGGCAAGUCUCUAAAAGGUGCAGCAUGAAAGGGGCUGAUAUGAAUUCUGAAUCGACUUUGUGAUGGAUGCCAACGUCGUUAACUGCUGUCCGUCCCAUUGUUACAUCUUUAGAAGGUUGUGAUUCAAAACGUCCCUUGAGGUGAAUAUUCUGGACUGCAAGCAGGCCAAUUCAAGACCCGGACUCUUCUACUUACGAAACCAUGCUGAUUUAAUAGUUGGCAUCUGCAGAAGACACAAGGGAUUGUGUUUACCGACAGUGGUUUCUGGACUUGUUCCUGGGCCCAUUUACUAAUCUCAAUGACAGCAUCAUGUCGAUGAGUGAUGCAGUGUCGUCUGAGGGCCUGAAGGCAAUGGUCUUGUUGGAUGCGCAUUCUGAAUAAUUUUACCAACAUGGGUCGCAUACGGUUUUAGUCGGAAGACUCCUGAAUAAUUAUAAUUAAAAACAUUUUUGUAGGUUUUUAAAGAGUCUUCAGAGGAUUAGGACACACAUUAGGAUGAAAAGGUAGUUGUAGAUAUCAGCAUACUGCAGGACAGGAAAUAUCCAUUAAUCCAUUCCUUUAUUGAUAAAAGUCAAAAGCACCCCAGGGGCAUUAUAGGGAUCUGUUAUAUUUAAUCUACUAAGUUUUGCUAUGUUCAGGUCUAUGUCUUUUGAAUUAAAAUGCCCAGUUAACUCUUUUGCCUUAAAAAUACGUCUCCAUUCAUUUCAUAUAUGCUCCAGGCUUUUCUUGCCUGCCAGCAUGGUGGAGCAAACAGAAGCUCUACAGCUAAUUAUGUUACAGACCUGAUGUCAAUUAACUUAAUCAGUUGCUAGAUGUUCUCCCAGCUGAAUCUUUUCAAAAUCUAUUGCCUUUUCUGGUCUUUGUUGUCCCUGUGCCAACACAUUUGAGACCUGUAACUUACAGCAAUUUAUAUCAUAUAUAAAUAUGCCAAAUUAUAUCAUUGAGUGGAUAAAAGUGUCACAUUUCUCCAUUUAAACACUUGUUAUUAAUUUAAAGAAAACAGGUUGUAUAUGUGUGUGUGUGUGUGUGUUUUAUAAAGAAGAGACAAGAUGAAUCAGUAACAACUGUAUGCCUCUAGGUUUUGUAUAAGCUGUGCAUGUUAUGACAAAGAUCAGACAUCACAGGUCUGAAACCUCUGUGCUAGAUGAUAUAACAGAGUGACACAAACAGGAAUGUGUUUUGUAAUUGCGUUUCCUAGAUCAUAAACUCUUUUCAUUCAUCUGCUAAAGCCUGAGCUCAGUUUUUCCCUGUCUAGCAUUU